AAGAAGAGAGAUGAUACUUGUACGAUCCAGUUUGGAAUUGGACUACAUUAAUUACAUUAGGGAUGAAUGAAUGUAAUUGUAAAUCUGUAUUAUGAAUGUAUGGGCCGGCCCAUAUCAUUUCUUCUUAGGGCUGAAACGAGCCCACCGAAAGCCCAAAAUCGCCCCGUAACGAAGGGACUCAUGUCGGCAACACUGACAGGAGCAAAACAACACGUUUGGGAGAGCUGUAACUCUAAGAUAAUGAGAAUUUCCGUUCC
rnacentral:sRNA from 1 species